AACGAACGCUGGCGGCAGGCUUAACACAUGCAAGUCGAGCGCCCCGCAAGGGGAGCGGCAGACGGGUGAGUAACGCGUGGGAACGUACCCUUUGCUACGGAAUAGCUCCGGGAAACUGGAAUUAAUACCGUAUGUGCCCUACGGGGGAAAGAUUUAUCGGCAAAGGAUCGGCCCGCGUUGGAUUAGCUAGUUGGUGGGGUAAUGGCAGACCAAGGCGACGAUCCAUAGCUGGUCUGAGAGGAUGAUCAGGCAAAUUGGGACUGAGACACGGCCCAAACUCCUACGGGAGGCAGCAGUGGGGAAUAUUGGACAAUGGGCGCAAGCCUGAUCCAGCCAUGCCGCGUGAGUGAUGAAGGCCUUAGGGUUGUAAAGCUCUUUCACCGGAGAAGAUAAUGACGGUAUCCGGAGAAGAAGCCCCGGCUAACUUCGUGCCAGCCGCCGCAGUAACAC
rnacentral:rRNA from 1 species